rnacentral:lncRNA from 10 species
AUGCCCCGUUAAAUUUUUUUUUUUUUUUGUAUUUUUAGUAGAGAUGGGUUGCACCAUUUGGCCAGGCUGGUUUCGAACUCCUGACCUCAAGUGAUCCACCCAUCUUCGCCUCCCAAAAUGCUAGGAUUACAGACAUGAGCCACCGUGCCUGGCCAGGAAGGCCUUUCUUGAACAGGGCUAGGUUGGUUCCCUAGUCAUAAUCUCUCACAGUGUCCUCUACUUCCCUUUUGUAACACUUACCACAUCUGUUGUGAUGUUUUUCCCCACUAUCUGCUUUGCCAUACUCUGAGCCCCAUGAAGGCCACGACCAGGUCUGCCUAUAGAAUCUCCAGCAGCUAGCCUGGUAGAUACGUGUGCAUGGGAUGCUCUCAGUAAAUACUUACGAAGUGAGUGGACGAAUGCUUUGCCCCACAGUGCCUGGCACAAAUGCUCGGAUGCAGCAAGAGAUGGACCCAUCCUUGAGGGUUUGGGAAUUAUUUCUGAAAAUAUUCCUAGCCGGGAGUGGUGAUAAAAUUACUUGUCUCCCAGGUAGUUCUGAGAAUUAGAAAUACAGCUAUGUGGGCCAGGUGUGGUGGCUCAAGCCUGUAAUCCCAGAACUUUGGGAGGCUG